UACGUAGGCAGCGAGCGUUGUUCGGAAUUACUGGGCGUAAAGGGCUCGUAGGUUGCCAACUAAGUCAGACGUGAAAUCCCUCGGCUUAACCGGGGAACUGCGUCUGAUACUGGAUGGCUUGAGUUCGGGAGAGAGAUGCGGAAUUCCAGGUGUAGCGGUGAAAUGCGUAGAUAUCUGGAGGAACACCGGUGGCGAAGGCGGCAUCCUGGACCGACACUGACACUGAGGAGCGAAAGCCAGGGGAGCAAACGGG
rnacentral:rRNA from 1 species